UCUUUGCUAGUAUAUCGGCUAGUACACGCGCCUGUCAUUUGCUCCUCUCCAAUGGUUCCACGCGCGAAAGCUGGGUUCGACUCCCAGGCAAAGAG